rnacentral:rRNA from 1 species
AUUGAACGCUGGCGGCAGGCCUAACACAUGCAAGUCGAGCGAGCGGCGGACGGGUGAGUAAUGUAUGGGGACUGCCCGAUAGAGGGGGAUAACUACUGGAAACGGUGGCUAAUACCGCAUACUGUAGGAUAACCCAUUUGAGCUUAGCUAGUGGGUAAGGUACUGGCUCACCUAGGCGACGAUCCCUAGCUGGUCUGAGAGGAUGAUCAGCCACACUGGGACUGAGACACGGCCCAGACUCCUACGGAGGCAGCAGUGGGGAAGAUUGCACAAUGGGCGCAAGCCUGAUGAAGCCAUGCCGCGUGUAUGAAGAAGGCCCUAGGGUCGUAAAGUACUUUCAGUCGGGAGGCGUUACCGACAGAGGAAGCACCGGCUAACUCCGUGCCAGCAGCCGCGGUAAUUC